rnacentral:rRNA from 1 species
AUGAGGAAUCUGUGUGAUGAGGUCACCGGGUUACUGUUUCUCCAGACCUUCAGCCUUGGGGGGAAGAUGCAGAAUACCUGUCGGCUGCAGAGGUUUCCCAAAAGGAUGAACAGGCUCGUCAACAUGCGACACCUCGACAUGGACAUGGAGUGCAUCGCCAACAUCAGUGGCAUCGGGAGGAUGCGUAAACUGCAAGGAUCCAUCGAGUUCAAGGCCGUCAGGGCGUCAGAGAAACAAGGGCACACCAUGUCAGAGCUUGGCGGGAUGAACUCUCUGCGAGGGACGCUGAGCAUAAAGGGACUCGACGCCGUCGCCGGCAAGGAGGAGGCCAUCAAGGCUCGACUCGACAACAAGAGUGCCAUCAAGGUCCUCAAGCUUGAAUGGAGGCCUCUAGAUCCACGGCGAGUUGACGGUGGACCUGCCGACUCCGACGCCGCUGCCGUCCUUGAAGGUCUCGAGCCUCACCGGGGCCUCCAUGAGCUGCGCAUCACGAGGUACCCUGGGGCGACGUCGCCGACUUGGUUGGGCCGGGGCAUGAUGGUCAACCUGGCGCGCCUGUACCUCAGGAACUGCAGGAGGCUGCAGGCCCUGCCUGCCGUCGGCGGGCUUCCUUGCCUGGAGCUUCUCGAUAUCAAGGAGCUGCCCUGCGUCGAGAGGAUCGACGGUGACUUCUGCAGCGGCGGUGCGUUCCCGGCACUGAAGGAGAUGGUGCUCGACGACAUGCCGAGGCUGGUGGCGUGGGAUGAUAUGCCCAGUCUAGCCUUCCCUGUGCUCAGGGACGUAAGCAUCGCCGACUGCCCACUGCUGUCCUCCUUGUCGGGCCUCCAGCGCUGCAGAGGUCCCAUCCACCUCUGCGUCAAGGGAACGACGGUCCUCGCACGGGCGACCCUGCCCAAAAAUUUCAAUGGCGGUAACUCUACUUGCAAAUUUUACUAG